rnacentral:rRNA from 1 species
UACGGGGGGGGCAAGCGUUGUUCGGAAUUACUGGGCGUAAAGGGUUUGUAGGUGGCUUGUUAAGUCAGACGUGAAAUCCCUCAGCUUAACUGGGGAACUGCGUCUGAUACUGGCGAGCUUGAGUGCAGGAGAGGAACGCGGAAUUCCAGGUGUAGCGGUGAAAUGCGUAGACAUCUGGAGGAACACCGGUGGCGAAGGCGGCAUCCUGGACCGGUAUUGACGCUGAGGCGCGAAAGCCAGGGGAGCAAACGGG